GACAGAGAGAGACAGAGCAUGAAUGGGGGAGGGGCAGAGAGAGAGGGAGACACAGAAUCGGAAGCAGGCUCCAGGCUCUGAGCCAUCAGCCCAGAGCCCGACGCGGGGCUCGAACUCACAGAUCGUGAGAUCGUGACCUGAGCUGAAGUUGGACGCUUAACCGACUGAGCCACCCAGGCGCCCCUGUGGUUCUUCUGAUCAGUAUCCUCCUGUCUUUCCACCUGCAUGGAACCUACUGUAAUAUUUAACCUGAACCUGCCUUUCUUACAAGUGUUCUGGUGUCAGGAAUUGUGACUGCCAUUCGGGAAGCCUGUUACUGGUCAUCUUGGCUGGAAUUUGAAAUGAUGUAAUUGUAAAACACAGGCACAGCUCAAUGAGAUUGGAAGUUAUGGAGGAAAAUGGAAUGAAUGCCAUAUCUUAUCACCUUUUUUGCCUUAAAUAUUAAAAUUUUACUUCAAACUUCAUAUCAGUUUUUCUUCAAUUCAUUUUUAUCAUCUAAUAUUAACGAAGCAUGUAAGGACAACUACAUAGAAACAAUAUAAAACCUGUAUCAAUAAGAAGUGAUAAUGAACAGGUUAAUGCAAAUGAUGAAUUCCUAAAUUAUGUUAACAAUAAGCUGUUUAUUAUAAUAGCUGAGAUUAGUAAUAUAGACCGGUAAUAAGGAUUUCUGAAGCAUUGUUUUUGGAACUAACAUUACAUAUUAGAAUUCUGGAAAUAGGCUAACAGAAAAUAGGCUAGCAGCCAUCAUUCAUUUUAUAUAUUUUUAAGAGUUCUGGCAAGUGAUCGUUCCAUAAAGUAAUCAUUCAAUAAAUAUAUCACCAUAUACACUAUUUUUUC